CAAAGUGUGGAAUUCUUAAACCUGAUGAGGAGACUGGGAAGCCUAAGAUCAAACUGUACAUGGACAGUAAUGGUGUUCCAAAGGGCGAUGCUCGUGUUGCAUACCUGAAAGAGCCCUCGGUUGAUU
rnacentral:ribozyme from 1 species